rnacentral:rRNA from 1 species
UGGGGAAUAUUGGACAAUGGGGGCAACCCUGAUCCAGCAAUGCCGCGUGUGUGAAGAAGGUCUUCGGAUUGUAAAGCACUUUCGACGGGGACGAUGAUGGCGGUACCCGUAGAAGAAGCCCCGGCUAACUUCGUGCCAGCAGCCGCGGUAAUACGAAGGGGGCUAGCGUUGCUCGGAAUGACUGGGCGUAAAGGGCGUGUAGGCGGUUUACACAGUCAGAUGUGAAAUCCCCGGGCUUAACCUGGGAGCUGCAUUUGAUACGUGUAGACUAGAGUGUGAGAGAGGGUUGUGGAAUUCCCAGUGUAGAGGUGAAAUUCGUAGAUAUUGGGAAGAACACCGGUGGCGAAGGCGGCAACCUGGCUCAUGACUGACGCUGAGGCGCGAAAGCGUGGGGGAGCAAACAGGAUUAGAUAC